rnacentral:rRNA from 1 species
CGUGUAGGCGGUGCGGUAAGUUGGGCGUGAAAUCCCCGAGCUUAACUCGGGUGGGCCGUUCAAGACUGCCGUGCUAGGGUGGCGGGAGAGGGAAGUGGAAUUUCCGGUGUAGCGGUGAAAUGCGUAGAUAUCGGGAGGAACACCUGCGGCGAAGGCGGCUUCCUGGACCGUAACCGACGCUGAGGCGCGAAAGCUAGGGGAGCAAACAGGAUUAGAUACCCUGGUAGUCCUAGCCCUAAACGAUGAGCACUGGGUGUGGCCCCUCACGAGGCCGUGCCGAAGCUAACGCAUUAAGUGCUCCGCCUGGGGAGUACGGUCGCAAGGCUGAA